rnacentral:rRNA from 1 species
AUGAACGCUGGCGGCGUGCCUAAUACCUGCAAGUCGCGCGAACAGACGAGGAGCUUGCUCCUCUGACGUUAGCGGCGGACGGGUGAGUAACACGUGGAUAACCUACCUAUAAGACUGGGAUAACUUCGGGAAACCGGAGCUAAUACCGGAUAAUAUAUUGAACCGCAUGGUUCAAUGGUGAAAGACGGUUUUGCUGUCACUUAUAGAUGGAUCCGCGCCGCAUUAGCUAGUUGGUAAGGUAACGGCUUACCAAGGCAACGAUGCGUAGCCGACCUGAGAGGGUGAUCGGCCACACUGGAACUGAGACACGGUCCAGACUCCUACGGGAGGCAGCAGUAGGGAAUCUUCCGCAAUGGGCGAAAGCCUGACGGAGCAACGCCGCGUGAGUGAUGAAGGUCUUCGGAUCGUAAAACUCUGUUAUUAGGGAAGAACAAAUGUGUAAGUAACUAUGCACGUCUUGACGGUACCUAAUCAGAAAGCCACGGCUAACUACGUG